GGAAGGAAAGGAAAGGCUUUGAGGGGUGCAAAAUAUGAGUAAAAAUAGAGAAAUCUUUCAAAAAAUUUAAAAGAGUAGUUUUUUAGAGAAUGAUAAAUUAAUGCAUAUGAUUACUUUAUUUUUAAUUUUAAAAAUAUUAUAACAACAUAAAUUAAAUUUGAAGAAUUCUUAUUAACCNGAUAAAUUAAUGCAUAUGAUUACUUUAUUUUUAAUUUUAAAAAUAUUAUAACAACAUAAAUUAAAUUUGAAGAAUUCUUAUUAACCCUCCAAAACCCUCCUCCAAUACAAUUUUUUAGUUCCUCCAAAUGAGGAGGGUUUUGUAUUAUGAAGAAAAGUUAACCCCCAAAGCCCUCCUUUCCCAUUUUCCUCUAUUUCUUCCACUUACUUAUUCCUUUUUUCCCUAGCCUUCCCCUCCCUUCCCCUCCAAACUCGCAAACAAAGCUUGAGAGAAA
rnacentral:lncRNA from 1 species